CUUGUGUUACAGGCUGAAGUACUACAUACAAGACUUAGUCUAAAGGAAAAGCCACAUUAUCAUACAUGGUCAGAGACCGCCAAUUCAAAAAGUACAGGGAACUAACUAGAAAUGAACUUCUUUUUGUUGUGGACCUACUUUGCAAAUGCAUGGCUCUGAGGCUGUGUUUGUGGUUCUACGUGCUUCCGAGAAAUCUACCAUUGCAUAUUAUCCUGAAGAAGAAAGUUAAGUAUUCAUUGACUGGUUCUCUAAAAACCAAAUGAGAAGUUCGAAAAAAUUGGUGUAGAAAACAAAACACGUAAUCUGAAUCUGACGUUUAAGCUGCAGGAUAUUGAGGUCAAGUGCGAGGAUAAAGUGAAACUCCUAGGGGUUACCUCCGACUUUUUGCUUAGCUUCAAUAGCAAUUAUAAACGUUAUGAAAGGACUCGGAAAAUAUCUCACCAGAUUAAGUAAUUAUGACGUUUAACUAUGUACCACUCUUUGUCAUGUCAAAUUUUAACUACUGUCCCCUUACUUGGAAUUUUACUAAUAAAACAAAUACAUGUACAAAGAAAAUUGAGAAAAUCCAGGAACGUGCUCUAAGAUUCAUUCAUAUGACGGUUAUACACAAUCUUAUGAAGAUUUUUGAUACUGUCCGGUUUACCAACAUUAGAAAUUAGAAGAAUGAGAAAUAUAGCAUAGCAAAAUGUUACAUUGCGAAGGCCCUAGUUACUUGCAUGAUCUUGUUUAUUACAAAAAUGCUUCUUACAGUUUUAGAUACAGUUGAAUAUAGUUGAAAUUCCUCAUCCCAAAACUGAGAGGUAGUGUAAACAUGGGUUUGCAGCUGUACAAGACAACAUAUAAAAGACCAUUCUGAGUGAACAACAGUCCAAGACACCUGCUACCGCUCCAAUUUCUUCAGACAUGUUAAGU
rnacentral:lncRNA from 1 species